AAAUAAAAAAAAAAUCUAAACCAGGAGAUACGACCAAACCUCCAACACCUACUCAACACACCGACCUAUCAUGUUUCCCCCCUUGAUAUAAAUGCAAUGAAUGGACCAACAAUGAGCUUUGCUACUUAUUAUAGCAAGCUAGGUUUAGAGUAGUUAUGGAGAAGAGCAAGUCCUUCCCUCAAUAUUCUUCGUCUUUCUCUGGCGAGUUUGACUUCGAGAACCGACAGAAUUCGUACAAUUUCAACGGGCCAUGCAGCAAGAGUAACGGGUUUGCGGCGUCGAACAAUCCGGAGCUCAAGAGGAAGAAGAGAAUCGCGUCGUACAACGUGUUUGCGAUGGAAGGUAAGUUGAAGUCGAGUGUUAGGAACAGCUUCAAGUGGAUCAAGAGCAAGUUUAGCGACACGCGUUAUGGUAUGUGAGUUUGCAUAAAAAGAAAGCAAAGAUGUUUAUUUUACAUUUUAGUCCUUAUAUUUGUACACAGUUUGUUUGGAAACUAGACAAGGGGGGAAGAAAAACCCAAUGAAAUUGGAAGUGGAUUAUAGUAUUUCAUGGGAAUUAUUGCAAGUUUGGUCCUUAGGGUUGUUUUGUAA